rnacentral:rRNA from 1 species
AGUGGCUAAGACUGGAUAGGAAGAAAUAAGGCAUCUAUUGUCUUUUAAAAGACCUAGUGAUAGGUAUACUUUAGGAGGGGCUUGCGCCAUAUUAGUUAGUUGGUAGGGUAAUGGCCUACCAAGACGAUGAUGUGUAGCUGGACUGAGAGGUUGAACAGCCACAUUGGGACUGAGACACGGCCCAAACUCCUACGGGAGGCAGCAGUAGGGAAUUUUCGGCAAUGGAGGAAACUCUGACCGAGCAACGCCGCGUGAACGACGAAGUACUUUGGUAUGUAAAGUUCUUUUAUCAAGGAAGAAAAGCAAGUGGUGAACCAUUUGUUUGCCGGUACUUGAUGAAUAAGCCCCGGCUAAUUAUGUGCCAGCAGCCGCGGUAAGACAUAAGGGGCAAGUGUUAUCCGGAAUUAUUGGGCGUAAAGGGUGCGUAGGCGGUCUAGUAAGUCAGUGGUGUAAUGGCAACGCUCAACGUUGUCCGGCUAUUGAAACUGCUAAACUUGAGUUAGAUAGAGGCGAGUGGAAUUCCAUGUGUAGCGGUAAAAUGCGUAAAUAUAUGGAGGAACACCAGAGGCGUAGGCGGCUCGCUGGGUCUUAACUGACGCUGAGGCACGAAAGCGUGGGGAGCAAACAGGAUUAGAUACCCUGGUAGUCCACGCCGUAAACGAUGAGUACUAAGUGUCGGGUUAAACCGGUACUGAAGUUAACACAUUAAGUACUCCGCCUGAGUAGUACGUACGCAAGUAUGAAACUUAAAGGAAUUGACGGGACUCCGCACAAGCAGAGGAUCAUGUUGUUUAAUUCGAAGAUACCCGAAAAACCUUACCAGGUCUUGACAUGUUUUUGCGAAACGGUAGUAAUAUGGUGGAGGUUAUCAGAAACACAGGUGGUGCAUGGUUGUCGUCAGCUCGUGUCGUGAGAGGUUAGGUUAAGUCCCAAAACGAGCGAAACCCUUAUCGUUAGUUGCCAGCACGUAAUGGUGGGGACUUUAACGAGACUGCCAGUGAUAAAUUGGAGUAAGGUGAGGAUCACGUCAAAUCAGCAUGCCCCUUAUGACCAGCGCUACAAACGUGAUACAAUGGCUGUUACAAAGGGUAGCUGAAACGCAAGUUCUUGGCCAAUCCCCAAAAACAGUCUCAGUCCGCAUUGAAGUCUGCAACUCGACUUCAUGAAGUUGGAAUCGCUAGUAAUCGCGAGAAUCAGCAUGUCGCG